GUAAGCUACUAAGAGCAAACGGUGGAUGCCUUGGCUAGUAGAGGCGAUGAAAGACGUGCCAGGCUGCGAUAAGUCUCGGGGAGCCGUCAAGGGGCUUUGAUCCGGGAAUUUCUGAAUGGGGCAACCCAAUACAUAGCGAUAUGUGUUACCAUUAACGGAGCCAACGCGGGGAACUGAAACAUCUAAGUACCCGCAGGAAGAGAAAUCAAUAGAGAUUACGCCAGUAGCGGCGAGCGAACGCGUAAGAGGGCAAACCACUAGUUUACUAGUGGGGUUGUAGGACCGCAAUAUAGACUAGGAUCUGAUAAUAGAACAAUCUGGAAAGGUUAGGCAUAGAGGGUGAUACUCCCGUAUAUGAAAUCACAUCCUUACUUAGCGGUAUCCUGAGUAGGACGGGACACGUGAAAUCCUGUCUGAAGCCGGGUCGACCACGAUCCAACCCUAAAUACUACUACUAGACCGAUAGCGUACAAGUACCGUGAGGGAAAGGUGAAAAGAACGGCGGUGAGCCGAGUGAAAUAGAACCUGAAACCGUUUGCUUACAAUCAUUCAGAGCACUAUGUGGGUCUGUUUGAAUAUUAAAGACGGCUUGUCUUUUGGCGAUAAAUUAAUGAGUUCGAUUUUUUCUCAAUCGAUAGGCUAAAAGCCUUAUCUCAAUCGAAAAAAUCUUCACAACAUUAAUUUCUCAUCCAAAAUACCGCGCCUUUGGGCCGGUAUAUCUUGUUUUUAUAAAAUUCUAUGCGGAUGAAAUUUUAAAAGUAAAGAAAGAGAGAUAAAACUUCUAAAAUUAAAAUUUCAAAUAUAGAUCAAAUUUAAAAUUUAAAUCAAACAAGAUAAGACGAUCCAAGAUUAGUAUUGAAACAGAUCCACAGUGUGAUGGACUGCCUUUUGCAUAAUGAGCCUGCGAGUUGUGGUGUCUGGCGAGGUUAAGGAAACCCGGAGCCGUAGCGAAAGCGAGUCUUAAUAGGGCGAUUAGUCAGAUGCUGCAGACCCGAAACGAUGUGAUCUAUCCAUGAGCAGGUUGAAGCCGGUGUAAGAGCCGGUGGAGGACCCAACCGACGGCCGUUGAAAAGGCUCCGGAUGACUUGUGGAUAGGGGUGAAAGGCCAAUCAAACAUCGUGAUAGCUGGUUCUCUCCGAAAUAUAUUGAGGUAUAGCGUCGUGUAGUAGUUAUAAGGGGUAGAGCACUGAAUGGGCUAGGGCAUACACCAAUGUACCAAACCCUAUCAAACUCCGAAUACUUAUAGCGUAACCACGGCAGUCAGGCGGCGAGUGAUAAAAUCCGUCGUCAAGAGGGAAACAACCCGGACUAACAGCUAAGGUCCCCAAAUCUCAUUUAAGUGGAAAACGAUGUGAAGUUACUGAAACAACCAGGAGGUUGGCUUAGAAGCAGCCAUCCUUUAAAGAUAGCGUAAUAGCUCACUGGUCUAGUGAUUUUGCGCGGAAAAUAUAACGGGGCUAAAAUGAGUACCGAAGCUUUAGACUUGCACUUAAUCAUUUAUACUUGGCUUGGCUUUUGAGCGUCUUUAAAUGAGCUCGUAAAAAUAAAUGCUCACGAACUAUAUGUUCGCUCCGCUUUAUUUUUACGUCGCAACAUUUAAAUCCAUCUCAAAAAUCCUGCGCCAUCUUGAGUUCAAAUUUGAAUCUAAUGUCUUAGUCUAAAUUUUAGAAAUUUCAAAUUUCUUAGAAUUUUAAAAUUUAGCAACAUAAAGCAAAAAGACAAGCCGCAAUAAAAGUAUAAAUUAUUAAGUGCAAGUGGUAGGAGAGCGUUCCAAUCAGCGUCGAAGCCGUACCGGUAAGGAGCGGUGGAGCGGUUGGAAGUGAGCAUGCAGGCAUGAGUAGCGAUAAAAUACGUGAGAAUCGUAUUCGCCGUAAACCCAAGGUUUCCUACGCGAUGCUCGUCAUCGUAGGGUUAGUCGGGUCCUAAGCAAAGUCCGAAAGGGGUAUGCGAUGGAAAAUCGGUUAAUAUUCCGAUACCGAUAUCAGUGUGCGACGGAAGGACGCUUAAAGUUAGUGGAGCUAGCGGAUGGAAGUGCUAGUCUAAGGAAGUAGGUUGAGUUAUAGGCAAAUCCGUAACUCUUUAUCCGAGAUCUAAAAGGCUUCUGACGCUCUUCGGAGUAGAUGAAGAAUCCAUGAUACUAUCGAGCCGAGAAAAGUUUCUAAGUUUAGCUGAUAUCGCCCGUACCGUAAACCGACACAGGUGGGUGGGAUGAGUAUUCUAAGGCGCGUGGAAGAACUCUCUUUAAGGAACUCUGCAAAAUAGCACCGUAUCUUCGGUAUAAGGUGUGCCUAGCUUCGUUAAGAAUUUACUUCGUAAGCGAAGAAGGUUACAACAAAGAGUCCCUCCCGACUGUUUACCAUAAACACAGCACUCUGCUAACUCGUAAGAGGAUGUAUAGGGUGUGACGCCUGCCCGGUGCUCGAAGGUUAAUUGAUGAUGUUAGCUUACGCAAAGCAUCUGAUCGAAGCCCGAGUAAACGGCGGCCGUAACUAUAACGGUCCUAAGGUAGCGAAAUUCCUUGUCGGUUAAAUACCGACCUGCAUGAAUGGCGUAACGAGAUGGGAGCUGUCUCAAAGAGGGAUCCAGUGAAAUUGUAGUGGAGGUGAAAAUUCCUCCUACCCGCGGCAAGACGGAAAGACCCCGUGGACCUUUACUAUAGCUUGACACUGCUACUUGGAUAAAGAUGCGCAGGAUAGGUGGGAGGCUUUGAGUCGUAGAUCUCGGUUUACGAUGAGCCAUUGUUGAGAUACCACUCUUCUUUAUUCGGGUAGCUAACUAGCCUAAGUUAUCCUUAGGUAGGACAAUGUCUGGUGGGUAGUUUGACUGGGGCGGUCGCCUCCCAAAAUGUAACGGAGGCUUACAAAGGUUGGCUCAAAGCGGUUGGAAAUCGCUUGUAGAGUAUAAAGGCAAAAGCCAGCUUAACUGCGAGACAUACACGUCGAGCAGAGACGAAAGUCGGUCUUAGUGAUCCGGUGGUUCUGUGUGGAAGGGCCAUCGCUCAAAGGAUAAAAGGUACCCCGGGGAUAACAGGCUGAUCUCCCCCAAGAGCUCACAUCGACGGGGAGGUUUGGCACCUCGAUGUCGGCUCAUCGCAUCCUGGGGCUGGAGCAGGUCCCAAGGGUUUGGCUGUUCGCCAAUUAAAGCGGCACGCGAGCUGGGUUCAGAACGUCGUGAGACAGUUUGGUCUCUAUCCUCUGCGCUCGUUGGAAUCUUGAGGAGCCCUGCCCAUAGUACGAGAGGACCUGGGUGGACGAACCUCUGGUAUGCCAGUUGUCACGCCCGUGGCACUGCUGGUUAGCUACGUUCGGAUAGGAUAACCGCUGAAAGCAUCUAAGCGGGAAGCCUUCUCCAAGAUAAGGAUUCCCCCACACCCUUGAGUGUGAAGAGUCCCCCCACGAGACCAUGGGGUUAAUAGGCCAGACGUGGACACAUGGCAACAUGCGCAGCUGACUGGUACUAACGGACAACAGCACCAACCCGUA
rnacentral:rRNA from 1 species